rnacentral:lncRNA from 1 species
ACUUGUGCCCAGAGUUUGAUUUUCCACAGACCAGGUAGAGGCCAAGAGCCUCUCACAGACUCUGCAGCAGGGUUGCUAUGAUUAACUCUUAAGUACUCCACAACUACACGCUUUUGAAACUGGCGUUGGCAUAGCGUUAGUUCUGUGCAGGGCGGACGCAGCAGGACAGAAUCUCCCUGGGCAUCUUUUCGGAGCAUCAAUUUUACUGCAAAAUUUUGAAAAAACAAAUUUAAUUGAUUUCCAAGGUUUGUCAAGGAGGACAGAAACUCAGAGCACCCUGCACUUGGGGAUCGGCACUAGGAGCUGCUCUCUGGAUGGGGAGAUGGGAGCUAGCAGCUCACAAUGGGGUCACAAGACAGGAGUGUUAUUGGGAGAAUCCUGUUUUGUUGACAAAUACUGAGAUCAUCCAACUCACCAGGCAAAGUUGACUUGUGUAAGUGAUCUUCAGAUAUGAAAAGUGUGGAACCCAGCUGCUCCUCCUCAGAUAGGCGACAUGACAAUUGUAGGCCUGGAGGGAGAUGAGUUGACAACAUCCCUUCCCUAUAACCACUUGUUGGAUCUGAUCUCACAUACACAGACUCACUCCAAAGACUGACCUGGGUGUCUGCUUCUCAGCUUCAUUAACAGUGGGUGCUCACAAGUCUAGUGGAGAGAAUGUCUGAGAAGAGGAGGACCUUGACUGCUCCUGAACCGGAGACCUCAGAACCAUGGUGCUCUCCUGUCCAGGCUGAACACUAAUGCUCUUGAGAGUCACAUUGAAGAAAGCCAACAUUUUUAAAUCUAAUGGAUACAUUCAUUUUGUGGUAUGUGAUGUUUAGAAAGAGGGAGCUAAAGUUAGUGGUCAUGAGCUAAAUACCCUGUGAGUGCUGGAGGCUGAGAACUUCAAGAUCAAAGUACUGGAAGAUUUACUGUCUGUAGUAACAGGAUCUUCUACACUGUAGCUGCUUCCAGUGUGAGCCAGACAAAUGUACUGAAUAUAGGCCUCAGAGGUGAUCCCACCACCUUCACAGCAAUGGUCCUUCCCCAGGAGCUUCCCCUGAGAAACGGGCCAUCCAGACCAUACUGCUGCUGAAUAAUGUCUCAUUGGAAAUCUCAACAUUCUUCAUUUAGAACACCACCGCCAAUAUCUACCAUAUGCCGGGAUUAUUGUGCAGGGUAAUUUUUAUUAUUACUUGAAUGUAUAUUUAUAUACUGCAGGAACUAUACAUGUUUAUGGCUAGAAUUACUGUUUUUCCUUAAUAUUAAGAUAGUAUUGGUAGAUUUAAUUAUCUGAAUUUAGUCAUUUGGCUCCAGUCAAAAUGGUUUCUCCUUAGCAGUACUCUGACUUUGUAAAAGUAAUCACAUUUGGAUUCUGUUUCCUCCAGUAGUUUUUAAAAUGAUUUUUUUGAUUAUUCAUAUAACUUUUUUUUAAUGAUCUUUUAAAAACUAGUAUGUGGUUAUAUAUUACUUGUUACACUUUUUGUUUUCUUUAUUUUUUGGUUGGUUACACCUUAAAUGAUUAUUUCUAUUGCCUUUUAAUGUUACUUAGAAAAUAUCACAUGUAAGACUUUUGCUUUUAUAAAGUUAGUAAUACAUUUUCAAGCCUAAACUCUUGAAAUUUUAAUAAUUUCUAUGAUAUUUGAAAAUUAUUUUUAUCUUCUUUUGAGUGCUAAAAGAUAAUAUUUGUCUACCUGAUUAACUAGCACAACUUUUAAAAAGUUAUUUAGCACUCUUUAUAUUCAUUCAUUUGUUUU